ACUGCUCAGUAACACGUCGGUAACCUGCCCUAUGGUCGAGCAUAACCUCGGGAAACUGAGGGUAAUUCUCGAUAGGUGAUGAAGCCUGGAAUGGCUCAUCGCCCAAACACGUGCCAUAGGAUGGGCCGGCGGCUGAUUAGGCUGUUGGUGGGGUAACGGCCCACCAAACCAAAGAUCAGUACGGGCCUUGAGAGAGGUAGCCCGGAGAGGGACACUGAGAUACGGGUCCCAGCCCCACGGGGUGCAGCAGGCGCGAAACCUUUACAAUGCACGAAAGUGUGAUAGGGGGAUACUCAGUGCUUACGACUCUGUUGUAGGCUUUUGUCGAUCGUAAAUAGAUCGGCGAAUAAGUGGUGGGUAAGACUGGUGCCAGCCGCCGCGGUAACCCCAGCGCCACAAGUGGUUAUCACGAUUAUUGGGCCUAAAGCGUUCGUAGCCGGUUUGGUAAAUCUCUUGUGAAAUUGUUCGGCUUAACCGGACAGCGUGCAGGAGACACUGCCAGACUCGAGACCGGGAGGCGUUAGAAGUAUUCCAUGGGGACUGGUAAAAUGGGAUAAUCCAUGGAAGACUACCGAUGGCGAAGGCAUCUAACGAGAACGGAUCUGACGGUGAGGAACGAAAGCCAGGGGAGCGAACCGGAUUAGAUACCCGAGUAGUCCUGGCCGUAAACGCUGCGAGCAAGGUGUCGCGUAUCUCACGAAGAUGCGCGGUGUCGAAAUGAAGAUGCUAAGCUCGCCGCCUGGGAAGUACGGUCGCAAGACUGAAACUUUAAGGAAUUGGCGGGGGAGCAC
rnacentral:rRNA from 1 species